rnacentral:misc_RNA from 1 species
GAUGAAGAACGUAGCGAAAUGCGAUACGUAAUGUGAAUUGCAGAUUUCAGUGAAUCAUCGAAUCUUUGAACGCACAUUGCGCCCGCUAGUAUUCUGGCGGGCAUGCCUGUCCGAGCGUCAUUUCAACCCUCAAGCCCCCGGGCUUGGUGUUGGGGAUCGGCGAGCCUCCGCGCCCGCCGUCCCCUAAAUCUAGUGGCGGUCUCGCUGUAGCUUCCUCUGCGUAGUAGCACACCUCGCACUGGGAAACAGCGCGGCCACGCCGUUAAACCCCCAACUUCUGAACGUUUGACCUCGGAUCAGGUAGGAAUACCCGCUGAACUUAAGCAUAUCAAUAAGCGGAGGA